rnacentral:rRNA from 1 species
GAUGAACGCUGGCGGCGUGCCUAAUACAUGCAAGUCGAGCGAAAAGAUAAGGAGCUUGCUCCUUUGACGUUAGCGGCGGACGGGUGAGUAACACGUGGGGAACACACCUAUAAGACUGGAAUAACCCCGGGAAACCGGGGCUAAUUCCGGAUAAAAUUUAGAACCGCAUGGUUCUAAAGUUAAAGAUGGUUUUGCUUUCACUUAUAGAUGGACCCGGGCCGUAUUAGCUAGUGGGUAGGGUAACGGCUUACCAAGGCGACGAUCCGUAGCCGACCUGAGAGGGUGAUCGGCCACACUGGAACUGAGACACGGUCCAGACUCCUACGGGAGGCAGCAGUAGGGAAUCUUGCGCAAUGGGCGAAAGCCUGACGGAGCAACGCCGCGUGAGUGAAGAAGGUCUUCGGAUCGUAAAACUCUGUUAUUAGGGAAGAACAGAGGUGUGUGAAUCUCUGCGCUUCUUGACGUUACCUGAUCAAAAAGCCCCGGCUAACUACGUG